rnacentral:rRNA from 1 species
AACGAACGCUGGCGGCAGGCUUAACACAUGCAAGUCGAGCGCCCCGCAAGGGGAGCGGCAGACGGGUGAGUAACGCGUGGGAAUCUACCCACCUCUGCGGAACAACUCCGGGAAACUGGAGCUAAUACCGCAUACGCCCUUCGGGGGAAAGAUUUAUCGGGGAUGGAUGAGCCCGCGUUGGAUUAGCUAGUUGGUGGGGUAAAGGCCUACCAAGGCGACGAUCCAUAGCUGGUCUGAGAGGAUGAUCAGCCACAUUGGGACUGAGACACGGCCCAAACUCCUACGGGAGGCAGCAGUGGGGAAUAUUGGACAAUGGGCGCAAGCCUGAUCCAGCCACGCCGCGUGAGUGAUGAAGGCCUUAGGGUUGUAAAGCUCUUUCACCGAUGAAGAUAAUGACGGUAGUCGGAGAAGAAGCCCCGGCUAACUUCGUGCCAGCAGCCGCAGUAA